AUUGAACGCUGGCGGUAGGCCUAACACAUGCCAGUCGAGCGGAUGAAGGGAGCUUGCUCCUGGAUUCAGCGGCGGACGGGUGAGUAAUGCCUAGGAAUCUGCCUGGUAGUGGGGGAUAACGUCCGGAAACGGGCGCUAAUACCGCAUACGUCCUGAGGGAGAAAGUGGGGGAUCUUCGGACCUCACGCUAUCAGAUGAGCCUAGGUCGGAUUAGCUAGUUGGUGGGGUAAAGGCCUACCAAGGCGACGAUCCGUAACUGGUCUGAGAGGAUGAUCAGUCACACUGGAACUGAGACACGGUCCAGACUCCUACGGGAGGCAGCAGUGGGGAAUAUUGGACAAUGGGCGAAAGCCUGAUCCAGCCAUGCCGCGUGUGUGAAGAAGGUCUUCGGAUUGUAAAGCACUUUAAGUUGGGAGGAAGGGCAGUAAGUUAAUACCUUGCUGUUUUGACGUUACCAACAGAAUAAGCACCGGCUAACUUCGUG
rnacentral:rRNA from 1 species